GUAUUAUGACUGUCACUAAAGGCUAUAUUUGGCUUGUGGAGCACUCCUUGCCCAAAUUUAGGCGCUCGAAGGAGCAGCUGGUGGGCGGUGGUAUUGCGAGGCUUCGACAGAGGUUUGGGUUCAUUUAGGAUCAAGCUGAUGUGGGGUUUUCACGUGAGGCUGUGAAGAUUUCAGAUAUGGGGCCAACGAUUCGACACCAUGAUGUUGCUGUUGAGCGAGGCUUUCUCCGAUCUGUGAGAUUGGGUUGAGAAUGAUUCAAAGUGGUGGUGUCGGCAGGACGAUCAUGGUGCUUGUUUCCCCCAACAUAUUGUCUGACUACGGUGACGGAAGACGAUUAUGGGAUCCCGGUCCGGAGGAUUGGCGAUCGUGCCAGAGUGAAGGUUUAUGGAGUGGUUAAGUGCGGUGGCGAGAUUGGGUGUGCAAAGUUCAAGUGGGCAUGGGUCCUUUUUUCAAUAGGGCCUGGGCUUUUGGUUUAGGUGUCCUAAGCAACCCAAUCUCGUAAUUUGGAUCGGAAUUUGGGCCCAGGAAGCAAUCACAUCUGGAUCAUAGAUCUUAGUUUUCGCUUCACUACAACUCGGGCCUUUAUUUUGCAACGACGAAACAUGGUCGGUAAUAAAGGGAGGAUGGGAAGUUUUUAUUGAAAUACCAGACGGCUGCAAUUUUUCGGUGUAUUCCAUUGAAGUUAAGAUUUUAUGGAGUUGGUUAGCAAG